UUCAUUCUUCCUCUUCGUCUCUCCAAGCAGCGCUCCUCUCUCCUUCUCCAAAAUCAGAGAAACAGUCACCCCUCCCCUCUCUCUGUGCUCUAGUGAAAACGCCACCACCAAGAGGCGCGAGGCUGAUCUCUCUUCCCCUUUCUCUCCCUCCAUCUCUCUCCUCUCGAUUCAGUAGCUACCAGGCGAGGCCACCGGCAAGCAUAAGCUUCAAUUGGCGACACCCAUGUCAUCUUCCUCUGCCUCUUGUACCUUUCUCCACCUUCCUCUUAUUUUUUCCCUCUCUUUGCAGGACCAAUAGAAGAGCCAGGCGAGACCACUAGCGAAGGAAGCACCCGCCGGCGAAAGCAACCACCAGAAAGUAGCCCCGACAAGCAGCGUGCUCCGGCGAGAAUGCCGAGUACCAGAAGUCGACGUCGCUCCUUCUAUUCUCCAUUUUUCGAGCAACAACAAAACCAGAAGCUUCGACUCCAUCGAGCAGCGAAACAAAAGCAGCUUCGUCGAUAGCUCCGGUCAACAACUCCAUGCAACAGCUAUGGAGAAAUCUUCUCCAUCUCCAGCGCCCCUUUCUUCUUUUGCAGCGAGGACGAACAAAUUCCAGCAAUACUUCAAAGCUUCUAAGCUUGUUAAGACAGAUCUUGGAUGAUUCGUCCACAAACAAUUCCAACAAAAUAUGCUUAUGAUAAAUAAAGGAAAGCAUCUGGUUUCGUAAUAAGCGUGGGAGGUUGAAGAGCCGCCGUGACGAGGAAUGCUUGGACAGAGCUUUUAUAUAAUUAAUUUCAAUGUUUGAAUUUUUAUUUAAGUGUUGGUUGGUAAUAAUGUUGUAUAACUCCAACUCUCCUAUAUGUAUGAUAUAUUUGGGGGACCUUGUUUAUUUAUUUUAUCGUAACUUAUAAAGUUAGAAAGCAUGCCUAUAUGA